AGGCUCUGAAGACGCGGCCUGGCCCUGGCCGUUCGGCCUUUCGUCUGAGCGCAAAGGCUCCAGCACCUCCGCGGCCGAAGCCGCGGGACUUUUCGUGGAAAAUGGGACCCAGCCCGAUCGCCAGCGGCGCUGCAGCGGACUCAGCGGGAACCUAGCUUCUGCUCCAGGACCUCCAGGGCCACCCCAGCUCGCAGGGCGUUCGCAGCGGCUCAGGGCGAAUCACGCUCAUGGUCCCCGUGCGCAUUUUCAGCCCCAGCCGGUACCUGGCGCUCUCACGACAUUCAUUCCACCCCCUAAAGGUCCUGCCAACCCCAGGCUCUUCCCGAGCAUUCCCGCCCUUCCUCCCUUUUGAAACCGGAGCAAAUCAGGGCCGGGCGGAAGCGGGGGAGCCCGGGUGAGAGUCGGUGACUCAGCUGCGGACUCCAAGUGUCGCCGGAGGCCCUGGGGCGCAGGCCCAGCGGGCUGUCGCGCAGCUCGGCUGUCCUGUGCCCCUUCCUGACGAGGCUAGGGAGGAAAGGCGGCCCAGAGAAGGCCGGACCAGCCCUCCCCGUCAGCCCCAGGCUCUCGAAUGACAAAGGAUGCCAGCGACCGGGGAUGGGGUCCCGGAAUUGCUGGGUUAAACAAGCUCCGGAUUCAGGCCUGGGCCUGGGCUGGGGUUCCAGGGUUCUGGAUCUCCCUCAAAGAAGGAGCUCCCUGGGGCGGCACCUGGCUCUGCUUGAUAGCCCCAGGGACAGGGAGCUCUCUACCUAUCAGGGCAGCUCCCCCAGUGCCGAGACCAGCUCGGUCUGGGAGACCCUAACCCAGCGGUGCUAGAGGAAUUAAAGAUACACACACAGAAAUAUAGAGGUGUGGAGUGGGAAAUCAGGGGUCUCACAGCCUUCAGAGCUGAGAGCCUCCAACAGAGAUUUACCCACGUAUUUAUUCACAGCAAGCCAGUGGGGAGGGACCCACAGCUGGAGGCUUAGCCCUGGAGAUACCGGUGAAGAUGGAUGAAUGAGAAACCAGUUGGAGCUUCCAAGGUCCUUCCAGAGACACAUAGAAGGUCCCAUCUAUGAGGAACAGGUCUUCACCAGACAUCAAAUCUGUUGGCAUCUUGAUCUUUGACUUCUCCACCGCCAGAACUGAUCUAGUUUGAGGCCCUAAGAAGUAUAAGACAACAGUUUGAACAGAGCUCCUAUCAGACACAUGAAUUCUGCUAAAAUUGAAACCAGAACAAACAUGCAAUUGAUGGUGAAGCUUGGCUGGAAACAUGGCGAAAUCAUUGAUGAUUUAUUGAAAGUUGAUAGGGACAAUGCCUCAAAGAAAUCAGCAAUUUAAGUAAGUGGAUAACUCAUUGGAAGAAUAGAAGAGAUGAUGUUGGAGAGGAAGUCCACAGCAGCAGACCAGCCACAUCAGUCUGUGAGGAAACAAUUCAUCUUGUUUGUGCCCUAAUUUAAGAGGACUGAUUAAUAGCAGCAGAAACAAUAGCCAACGCUGUAGGUAUCCCAAGGUGUUCAGCUUACACAAUUCUGACUGAAAUUAAAGUUGAGUAAACUGUCCACUCGGUGGGUGCCAAAACUUUCUCCCAGCUCAGCUGCAGAUAAGAGAAAAGCGUUCUAUGGCCAUUUUAAACAAGUGGAAUCAAGAUCCUGAAGCAUUUCUUCAAAUAAUUAUAGCCGGAGAUGAAAUGUGGCUUAACCAGUACACUCCUGAAGGCAAAGCACAAGCAGAGCAAUGACUACCUAGAGGUGGGCGUGGUCCCAUCCGAGUAAAAGCAGACAUGUCGAGGGCAAAGGUCGUGGCAACCGUUUUGUGGAUGCUCAAGGCAUCUUGCUUAUUGACUUUCUGGAGGGCCAAAGAACAGUAACAUCUUAUUAUGAGAGUGUAUAGAGAAAGUCAGCCAAUGAUUUAGCAGGAAAACACCCAGGAAAUCGUCACCCCGGAAAGCUUCACCAGAGAGCCCUUCUCCACCAUGACAAUGCUCCUGCUCAUUCCUCUCAUCAAACAAGGCCAGUUUUGUGAGAGUUUCAAUGGGAAAUCACUAGGCAUACACCUUCCAGGCCUGAUUUGGUUACUUCUGUUUUAUAAUUUUAAAAAAUCUUUAAAGGGCACCCACUUUUCUUCAGUUAAUAACGUCACAAAGACUGAAGUGGCAUGGUUAAAUUCCCAGGGUGCCCAGUUCUUUAGGGAUGAACUGAAUGGCUGGUACCAUCACUUGCAAAAGCGUCUCGACCUUGAUGGAGCUCAUGCUGAGAGAUAAAACAUUUUUUAAUUUUUAUCUUUUAAUUCAAUUUUUUCGUGAACUUUUGAAGUCCCCUUGUAUUUGUUUUCGGUGGAACUUUGAGUCUGAUUUCUCAGCUCCCCAUGGAUGGCUGCAUCUUAAUAGAGAAAUGAACGCCAUUUACCCUGAUGCUCUCUACUUGGCCUAAGUUUCAGAUGUUGAACACACACAUGUGUGGGAUUUUAUGAAUCUGUGCACCUGUGCCAGCUGGUGGGUGAAGUCUAAGUUUCUUCAACAGAAUUAGUUAUCUUCUGCCUCCUGGAAUCUGGUAGGAAAGGUUGAGGAAAAGCAGCCAUCCACAGUGCCUCCACCACUGGAAUGGGGGCAGCCCUAACGUGUGCCCCACUGCCCCCCAUGCUGAGGAGUCCUUCACUCCAGGGAUGUCUUCACCCCAAUCAUUCAGACUCCCCCAGUGUUCCUGCGUCACCUGAAAGGUCGGAAGCAUCUCAGCACAUACCCUCCAUGAGUGGUACUUAGGCCUCCCUCCCCAUCAAUACUGAAGCCCUCAGAGGCAGAGGGGAGUCAAGGAAAAGAGUGGCCAUCAGCAAUAAAUGAGUUACAAGGUUUGAUUUCAAAGAGAAAAACUUGUCACCAAAAUCACUACUCAGGAGAUCUGGACUUCCUCUGAAUGUGAGUUAAAGAACCCUUGAGGGUUAAGAGCCAACUGCACCUGAUCCCCACUCUCCCAUCCCAAGACCCUGGGAAGUCAAACCAAGAGGUAAUCGACAGAAAACAAGUUUAAUGCAACAGGUGACAACGGUCUGGAGCAAGUCCAUGCUCCAGAAGGCUCAGUCCAUGGCAGUCCCGUGGCUCAAGACAGGCUGAGGCCGGCUGCAAUGGAGGCCAGCAGCAGGAGGAUGGCCAGCCCCAGCCCACCACAGCUCUCACCCACGCUCCCAGCAUAUUCUUUGAACACUGAUGAGCUGAUAGGUGGCCCCUCUAAAUUGCAGUAGCGAAUUGUACAACACUUGAGGUAAAAGAAGGGCAUGGGCUCUUCCAGGAGAAACUGCUUCUCCUCUGGCUUGGGUCUCUCAAUGGCUGCACAACUAGCGGAGCACUGCUUCGAAAUCAUGAAAAAACGUGGAAAUAUUUCUAAUAGGAAAUAAAGACCGAGAGAAGGCAAUCACACAAUUCCAAUGCCUGACACCGAGGCCCUUCUGUCUGGGUCAAAGCCUCACCCCUGGCGGCCCUGCUCAAAGGUGCACAGUCAACUGGGGCACCAAGGGGAGUCGGGAGGACGAGGGCCAGGCCUGUGUGUUGAACGCUGCUUCAGGGAAGGGCUGGCUUCUGCGUGGUAUGGCCUGUCCAUAUGCACUGGGAAUGCAGGUCUAGGGGUUGCUGUUUGGGAACAAACGGGUCUCAACUUCUCAAACGCAGGGUUGGCUCAGGCCUUUGUGACCACAGACAGACACAUGACUCCCAGCCAUUCUGGCCAUCACCCAGGGUGUGGAGCUGGCCUCUUGGUGGGCCUGGCUCGACUCUGAGCUGGGGGUCUUGUCUCAUGACCACACUUCAUCUUAUACAUCACUGUACAAAGCAUUUUGCCAUAUUAAGUUAUAAAGUCGAUGUGGGCUACACUGAGUCUGAAGCAUCACCUCAGCGCCCCAUCAACUUCGUGGAUACCGAAGGGCUGGAGAGCGACUGCCGGGCGGAAUCAGAAUUCACAAGCCCUGAAGAUCUCCCUGUGGGCAGAAUGUGCUGGGUGUCCAGAUUCCCCUUGGGGAGGGCUUCACGUACCCAGAGGUUUUCAGGGGAAUCACAGAUGACAGAGCAGUGGUCUCCACAAUUUUUAAGGCAUGCACCCUCCUUUGAGAACACACUUGAAGGCUGUACACCUUGGUUUUGUGCAUCUCUUGUAAGAGUGACAUAGACACUGUUCUCUGUGGCGCAUUUAACAUUAUUAAAGCUUAACUUUUCAUUUAAAAAUGGA